CAAGUAUUCCCUCCGUUCGGAAUUACUUGUCACAAAAAUGGAUGUAUCUACAACUAAAAUACAUCUAGAUACAUUCAUUUUUUGGACGAAUAAUUCCGAACGGAGGGAGUAAUAG
rnacentral:pre_miRNA from 1 species